GGGGAAUUUUGGACAAUGGGGGAAACCCUGAUCCAGCAAUGCCGCGUGAGUGAAGAAGGCCUUCGGGUUGUAAAGCUCUUUUGUCAGGGAAGAAACACCGGCUCUAACACAGUCCGGGAAUGACGGUACCUGAAGAAUAAGCACCGGCUAACUACGUGCCAGCAGCCGCGGUAAUACGUAGGGUGCGAGCGUUAAUCGGAAUUACUGGGCGUAAAGCGUGCGCAGGCGGUUAUACAAGACAGGCGUGAAAUCCCCGGGCUUAACCUGGGAAUGGCGCCUGUGACUGUAUAGCUAGAGUGUGUCAGAGGGGGGUAGAAUUCCACGUGUAGCAGUGAAAUGCGUAGAUAUGUGGAGGAAUACCAAUGGCGAAGGCAGCCCCCUGGGAUAACACUGACGCUCAUGCACGAAAGCGUGGGGAGCAAAC
rnacentral:rRNA from 1 species